UACGGGGGGAGCAAGCGUUGUUCGGAUUUACUGGGCGUAAAGCGCGCGCAGGCGGUUUUCAAGUCAGUGGUGAAAGCCUGGAGCUCAACUCCGGAACUGCCAUUGAAACUGUGAAACUUGAGGAUGAGAGAGGUGAGUGGAAUUCCCAGUGUAGAGGUGAAAUUCGUAGAUAUUGGGAAGAACACCGGUGGCGAAGGCGGCUCACUGGCUCAUUUCUGACGCUCAGGCGCGACAGCGUGG
rnacentral:rRNA from 1 species